AAAUGGCUUUGACAUCCGAUUGA
rnacentral:siRNA from 1 species